rnacentral:rRNA from 1 species
ACCGGGGCGCGGGCUUACCAUGCAGUCGACGCUGAAGCCCCAGCUUGCUGGGGUGGAUGAGUGGCGAACGGGUGAGUAACACGUGAGUAACCUGCCCCUGACUUCGGGAUAAGCCCGGGAAACUGGGUCUAAUACCGGAUACGACCGGCCCUCGCAUGUGGGAGGGUGGAAAGUUUUUUCGGUUGGGGAUGGGCUCGCGGCCUAUCAGUUUGUUGGUGAGGUAAUGGCUCACCAAGACGACGACGGGUAGCCGGCCUGAGAGGGCGACCGGCCACACUGGGACUGAGACACGGCCCAGACUCCUACGGGAGGCAGCAGUGGGGAAUAUUGCACAAUGGGGGAAACCCUGAUGCAGCGACGCAGCGUGCGGGAUGACGGCCUUCGGGUUGUAAACCGCUUUCAGCAGGGAAGAAGCGAAAGUGACGGUACCUGCAGAAGAAGUACCGGCUAACUACGUGCCAGCAGCCGGCGGUAAUA